rnacentral:lncRNA from 1 species
AGAUAAUUGUGGUCUGGUGCCAUGAUAUUUAAAGCUAACAGUAUAUUUUGCCCAAGCAACUAAUCUAGACCUAUGAUCACAACACAGCUUCGCCAUGAAGACCUUUCUACUCACCAGUACUAGCUGCGGUGCAACUCAUUGGUAGAAAACAUGGAGAUGGUAAGGAUCAGUUGUAUGCUUCAUUUGAGCACAAAAUGACACAGGAGUUCUUUCUGCUCUGCCUCUAGUGAGCACAAAAAGGUAAGACAUCCUCUUUAUUUUAUUAUUUUAUUUGUUUACAUUUCAAAUGUUGUCCCACUUCCGGUCUCCCCUCCACGAACACCCCAACCCAUUUCCCUCUCCUUUGGCUCUAAGAGGGUGCUCCCGUACCCACCCCCACACUUCUACCUCACCCCUUUAGUAUUCCUCUUCUCUAAGACAUCCAGCAAACACAGGACCAAGUGCCUUCUCUCCCACUGAUGCCAGAUGAGUCAGAACUCUGUUACAUAUAUAUCGGGAGCCAUGGAUUCACCCAUGUCUACUCUUUGAUUGGGACUUUAGUUUCUGGAAACUCUGAGGAGUCAAGUUAAUUAAUACUGUUGUUCUUCCUGUGGGGUUAUAAUCCCCUUCAGCUCCUUCAGCUCUUCUCCUAACUCUUUGAUUUGAGGUCCAUAGGCUCAGUCCAAUGUAACUAUGUGCAUCUGUGUUUGUCAAGUGCUGGCAGAGUCUUUCAGAGGACAGCCAUACCAGGUUCCUGUCUACAAGUACAUCUUGGCAUCAGCAUUAAAGUUGUGGUUUGAGGUCUGUGGAUGGAAUAGAUUGCAUGAUGGGGUAGUUUCUGGAUGGCCUUUCCUUCAGCAUCUGGUUCACUUUUUC